UUGGAGGGCAAGUCUGGUGCCAGCAGCCGCGGUAAUUCCAGCUCCAAUAGCGUAUAUUAAAGUUGUUGCAGUUAAAAAGCUCGUAGUUGAAUUUCGGGAUCAGAUUGUCGGUCGUGCCUCGGUACGCACUGGCAUUAUUGGUUCCUACCUUCUGAAGAACCGCGAUGUCAUUAAUUUGGUGUCGUGGGGAAUCAGGACUGUUACUUUGGAAAAAUUAGAGUGUUUAAAGCAGGCUUACGCUUGAAUACAUUAGCAUGGAAUAAUGAAAUAGGACGUUUGAUUCUAUUUUGUUGGUUUCUAGGAUUGACGUAAUGAUUAAUAGGGAUAGUUGGGGGCAUUAGUAUUCAAUUGUCAGAGGUGAAAUUCUUGGAUUUAUUGAAGACUAACUACUGCGAAAGCAUUUGCCAAGGAUGUUUUCAUUAAUCAAGAACGAAAGUUAGGGGAUCGAAGACGAUCAGAUACCGUCGUAGUCUUAACCAUAAACUAUGCCGACUAGGGAUCGGAUGAUGUUAAUUUUUUAGUGACUCAUUCGGCGCCUUACGGGAAACCAAAGUGUUUGGGUUC
rnacentral:rRNA from 1 species